GGGUUCGAGCAUUUCGGCAGGGCAGAUUUCAACACCAAAGCCAGAAGAAUAAUUUGAAGUAUUUCUUUCUGAAGCAGUAUCGUGGUAACAGCCUCCAUGGUGCGCUGAAAGUGAUUGUGGAACAAUUCAUUCCAAGCUACUUCAAGAGCUUUGUUGAAAAAAAAAUCCAAGUUAACAAAAGAAUAUCGGAAGUACAGUGACGAGCUUCCUGUGAUCCUACAUGGGAGACCACCGUCAUUUGUAGAGCAUUUCAAGAGAAGAUUGUCUAGUGGUAGUCAAGUGAAAAAGGCUAAUGUUGGAAUGUUAGCCGAUGGCAUUUUUGAAGUGAAGAGCCUAUCCAUUAAGGCUGUGUACCAUAUGGUUGACUUUGGCCAAAAGUCUUUUCCAUCAUGUACAUGUGAGGACUGGAAGAGAUCCCAUCUUGCCUGCAGACAUCAUUGUGCUGUAUUCAAGCAUUUCCCUGACUGGCAAUGGGAACAGCUACUCGAAAAUUAUAGGAAUGCCCUCUAUUUCCAGGUAUUUAGCAAUUCUCAAUCUGAAAUUUUGCCUAUGGUUGCCAUUAAUUGCGAUCUUUCUCCUAAUAUCAACACUGAAUUUAAAACUGAUGAAGUCAAUGAUCCCAACCUUGCUACGGUUGCAUAUCAAGGUGAAUCCUGCUUAGAUGCCAGUGAUACUUGCAACCCCUCUUUCUGGUCAUUGCCACCAAAGAAAACUUAGAAUAACAGCGAGUUAAAAGCUGUUGGGAAUGAUGCUAGGGAGAAAUAUGAUGAAAAUAUACAUUCCUUGGAUCUACCAUCUCUUUCCCCAGGUCCAAAUCCAAAAAAAAAAAAAAAA